UCUGAAAUGGAGAACACCCCCCUUCACUCAAAUAUUAAAUCCCACUUACUGAUUGUGUUGUGUGUGUGAGUGAGAUGUCUUUCUUCAAAACGAGGUCUCAACCCUUCUACUCUCUCUCUCCCCUUGGAGAGUCUAUAAAGCUUUCUGGGUUAGGGUUUUAUAGAGGGAAAAAGGGUUGUUCUUGGUGUUGUUGCUGCUGUUGAGGGGAAUGUUGGCUGGCUCGAGGCUUUCAGUUUCAGGGGUAGCUCUCUGAAGAGAGGUGAAGGCGUCGGACCAGGCUUCAUUCCCCUCAACCAUGAUUAUGUGUUGGUUCUGCUAGCUGUUACGCCCUCUUCAGCCUCUUCAUGGUGUCUCACUCUCUCUCUCUCUUGUGCAGUAGAGAUUAGAGAUGUUUCGUUUAGGUUGGGUUGAGGGGAAUGUUGUCUGGCUCGAGGUCACGUAGGUGAUUUUGUAGAUUUUCCUAUAGUUUUUCUUUAGAGUUCUAUGGAAAGUUUGGAUUCAAUCCCUAAGUGACCUCGGACCAGGCUUCAUCCCCGUCAACCAACAUAUGCUAUCUUCUCUUUUCCAUCUAUCUCUGUCUCUCUCAUGUUUUCUCUCAAGUGAAUACCAUUAACAAGGUCACUAGUGCUCAUCAUUGACUUUGUGUUCUUAUUGCAUAUUUCAAAGUAAAUCUUUCUUAUGGGUGUCUUCAUUCUACCAACUGGACUACAUGCAUACAGCUCUCUCUCCCUCAAGGUAAGAAGUUGCAGAAAUUAUGAUUUUUUAUUCUAAUUUGCUGUGAAUACUACGAACAAGGUCACUACUGCUCAUUGACUUUGCUCUUGCAUCUUUCUUUUUAUUCUUUUUAUGGGCUUGCUCGUUUUAUCCACUGGAAUACAUGCACAAUGAUCUCUCUCUCUCUCUCUCUCUCUCUCUCUCUCAAGGUAAGAAUUUUUGGAAAUUUUCUUUGAUUAUGAAUUGUUGAUUUGUUUGAUUCUGACUUGCUGUGAAUACUAUGAACAAGGUCAUUAGUGCUCAUUGACUUAGUGUUGUUGCAUCUUUCUUAUAAGUAAAUCUUUUUUAUGGGUUUAUUCUAUCAAAUGGACUACAUGCUUGCAGAUCUCCUCUCUCUCUCUCCCCCAAUCAGAGAAAGCAAUUCUUCUUUCCUACUCGAAUGUAAAUUAUGAUUUUUCUUUUAUUAGCUACCAUGGUUUUCUCUUGAUGACUUAAAUAUCCAUUUAUCUGGACAAGAUGCACGGUUCAGUAAGACCUGAUAGAUUGAAACUCUCUAGCCUGCAUGCUACCAUAGGUUUGUAGGCUUCUAAGGCUUUACAACAGUGACGCUAUUCUUCUAGCUAGCCUGUUGGGUAUCAGCUUUUCAUAUUUACCCAUUUAUCACCACAGACUACACCCAGGUAAAUACUAAGCUCUCUCUCUCUCUCUUCUCUCUCUCUCUCUCUCUUUCUCUCUCUCUCUCUCUCUCUCUCUCUCUCUCUCUCUCUCUCUCUCUCAUCUAGACACUCAACAAGCCACCAGUGGGAAGACACACGAUCGACUUCUGAUCUAUGGAACCAGUCAUUGGAAGAGAAGUCUGAUCUGAUGAAUGAACAUUAAACAGACAAUACCAGCAGGCAUGAUGAAACCCUUGAUCGGUAAACAUUUAUUUUCAUUGAAUAUGGUAUUUGAUGCAUUUGAUAUCUUUACAUAUUUAGACUAUUCCUGUCCUGAUUUGCAAACUGUGAUUGUUAAAUUUGGACUAUACUUUCCAUUCUGAGUUGUUAAACUUCCAAUGAAGGUGCUGAUGACCACGGGAUAUGGAAACUAAACUGUUGAAUUUACUUGUUUUUUUUUGUUAUGAUAUUGUGACUUGGGAGCAUUUAAGUCCCCAAAGUCAUGUGGAGUCAAUGAAUGAAAGAGAUGCCAUAGAUAGAUUUUAACGAUAAAAGAAGCGAGUUUCGCGGUUACCAGAUUUUGGGUCUUCCUCCUUUUCUACUUGCUGCAUCUCAUGACGAAUCAUCAGCCCGGCCAUGACUCUGUCUGAUGAUGCCAACCCAAGUACCCAACCCAACAAGAGAGAAAGAGAGAGAGAAUGGUGCAUUAAUGAGGAUUGUAAGAGGUUGAAGCCUGUAGGCUUUAGUUUCCCAGUUUCCUUCCGUAGAAAAGCUCCUGAUCAGCAAUGGCAGUUCUCACAGUACUGAUGUGGCCUUUGAAAAACCAACAUCAACAGUUGAAUACAUCAGUUUUGAGAGAGAGAGAGAGAGAGUCUUGUCUUCUUGACUUGUGUUUAUUAUUUUUUUUUUCUUUCUUUUCUUUGAAUUAAUAAAUGACGAAGAUCUGACGUUUCUUGGAAAAUGAGACAGAAGUCACAGAACGCAAGACUGGGUAUCGUCCAUGACAACAAUCUUCGAGAAGAAGACCAUCACCUUUUCUCUGGACAACUUGGCCAUCCAUUUAUUAUAUCAAACUCCAUAUAAAAAUACAUUUGAAAUCUUAUCUUCAAGCUCACCAAUGAAUUUAGUACAUUUUUUACAUCCUCCGUGACAUGAAAUGAUCUUUGUUUGCAUGUUUGCCGUACUCUCGAGUAGUUGUAUUGUUUAAUAGAUUAGAAGGAGAAGAGAGACAAACAGAGAGAGUCACGAGCAUGUAUUGCCUAAGGCAAGCAGCCUACGUGUGAUAAACGUUAGAUGCUUUGUACUCUUGUCUUAUUCAUUUGGGUUGAGACUGCUUCACUGUAACUUGUUCUUUCCAACUACUCUUGCUUACUGUGGCUGAUACUUCAUUCACUGUUCAUGAGUUCAUCAUCUCUCCUGCUGUCUGUAUUUCUUCUUCCUUCCCUCUCCUUCUUCUUCUUCUUCUUCUCCUCCUAUUGUAUGGAUGAAACUGAUGAUGAAGUAUGUAGGUACGAGUCAACAGAUAAUUGACUGCACGGUACGUUUAUAAGUUACCCUAAAUUUGGUGGAAAAUGCCAAGAAAUCGGACUACUCAAGCUGAUGAUUUAAGAUCAUCAAUAUUGGUAAAGUGGGUCCUACCCACAUACUCUACUUACUAUGCCAGUAUGCCACACAGACCAACUCAUUGAUCCUGACCUUUCAUCCGUUGCCUCUCCUUGGGCCCACUGGGGUGCUGCAGCACUGCAUGGUCCCCACUCCCCCAUCCCACCACUCGUACAUAUUUAUCUUACUGUGUAAAAAUAGAAACAACUUGAGAUGCUUUCGGAAGUCUCAGUCGAAACUGGAAACAAGGAGAGAGCCAGAGAGGUGGGUUGAUGAUUACUAGGCUUAUUGGGACUACGUGACGACUAUUUCUUUUCAUCUCUGUAAAGAUUCGAUGAUAUUUAGUGCACACACAGAAAAGCUUUUUUGAUAUUCAUCUCAUCAUCAUUUCGCUUUUAUCAUCAGUGAUCGAGAGAUUUUAUAAUUUAUACAGUAAGUAGACAAAAGAACUUCACUACUGAGCUAGUAGUGACGGAACUGACAACAAGAGAGACUACUGCAUGAUAGAAUUAAGAAUUCUUUGGCCCAGCUUUACUUGGGUGUGUCACCGUGUUAUAUAUGGUACAGUCAGAAGCUUUAUGUUAGGUUUUUGACUCAACGUUYUACUUAUUGGCUUCAACUAUAGUUCUUUUUUCUUUUUGUUUUUUGUUUUUUGUUUUACUUUACGCCAGCUUCAUCUAGAGUUAACUUUCAUUAAUUUAGAAAAUACCCAUAAUAUAAUGUAAUUAAAAAUUCAAGUAUUAAAUUUAUUUUGCAUUUUACCUGUUUUUUUUCUGUCUAAUUGAAUCAUCAGAGACCUUUUAUUCAAUACUUGUGGUAUAUAUAUUAACAAAUUUCCACUACUUUGGAGAUAAAACAAGACCAGAAUACAAAGAGAUCAAGCUAUGUCUUUACUCAACUAUAUAAGAAAGUUUUGAAUCAUCAAGACCUAAUUGUUUUAUGGAAAUGUGAUUGUACAGGACCAAUGGGGCCACAGCAAGAAUUUGAAAAAUAGAAAAGAGAAAACUACAAACAGAACAUAAAGAUCAUGUAGUUUAUGGAAGACAUGAAAAACAACAUAAAGCACUAAUGUCCAUAGAGUAGAAUGAAAAAUUCAAAUUAUUAAAAAAUCCAAAGAAAACGUGUCUUCCCAAGAAUAAGACUUCCUCAAAAUCACUUUCUUAAUUACCAAGAGAAACACUUUUUGAUUCUUUCCAUCUCAUAGAAGGAUCCCUAUAGUAGUAGUACCAGAAAAAGCCAUGAAUUACAAACCUAUGUAGAACCACUAACCCAAUAAUAAUUAUUGGCUCUUACCUGGUCUGAAGGAAUUGUGUCCAACCAAGUGCAUUUUUCAGUUAAAAGUUAGGGUUUAAGAUUUAGGGGUUUAGGGUUUGUGGUUUAAAAUUUAAGGUUUUUAUAUAAAAAUCAAGAGGUUGUUGGGUGAAACUUGAAAGCAUCCGACCAUUUCUCCCCAAUAACCAAGUAAAACAUCAACAAAAAGAUAUCCAAAAGCAUGUAUUUAUAGAUGCAGAAGAAGUUUUCCAUCCUAUAAGAAAACUCCAACAAAAGGUGAUAAUAGUUUUCAUAAAUUGUCCAAAAAAUUAAAGACUUAUUGGGUUGUCUUGGAAUUCAAUGCACAAAAUUCUAACGAUUUUCACAUUGAAUUUCAUCAAGUUACUAAAAUAACUCCAAUAAAAUGUAAUCUUAGACAGUUGCAGGGAAAUCAUAGCAAUCUUCUUUUUCUUGGAUCAUCGAUUAUAUUAAUACCCGGCAUAGACUUCAAUGGACCACUGGAUUUGAUGAAACUAUAUUUUUUCUUAAACCAAAAUAACUCUUUCAUCAACUUCUCCAGCCCAAAUCUGUUGGUAAAUCUUUCGUAUCACACCUAAACUCAAGAUCUAAAUUAGACCCUAAACCUAUUAGUUUGAAGCCACUUGUGGAAAAUAUAAUUAUAUAUGAUAGAUGACACCACAAGAACAAAUAGAAAAAGAAAAUGACAACGAAAAACAAGAAUUUACAUGCUUUUUUCAUGAUUAUGGUCAGAAACAAAUAAAAUAAAUCACUAAUAUCCAAGGAGACUGUAAUAAAAAUCCAAACCUAUAAAAGUCAAAGAAAACUCUCUUCCCAAUAACAAUGCAUCCUUCUCAAAGCUACAUAUUAUAACACUUAUCUCAUCUCACAAAAAGGAAAUUACCCAAAGAAAAAAAAAAUAAGAAUCUAAAACACAGGAUGCAACUUGUGUAGAAUCCCUAAUAAUAAAUGAAGAACCCUCAGUGAGGAACUAAAGUCUCACACCAAAAAGAUAUCCCACAGCAUGUACAAGGACCAUUUUUCUUAUACCAAACAAAAUACCAAGAAAAAAAUGGUAUUAAUUCCAAAUAGGAAAACUACCCAAAAAGACUUAAUGACUUUCAUUGGAAUUCAAAGCACAAAAUCCUAACAAUAACUUCACUCUUUCAUUCACAAUCACAAAAUCAUUAGACUACAAUAUAUUAAAUGCACACAACAAGCAGCAGAAGUAAUCUCAAAAAGUAAAUCAGUUUUUCUAUUUAAUACUCAAUAUCAAGAAUAUAUUCAUUUGUAAAUUCCUUCUAAACUAAUAGCUCAGAAUCUUUCAAUAAACACAAAGCUCUUUCAAAUUUUAUUUUUAUUGCAAAGAGUAAUUACACAAUAAAUUUAUUUAUACAAAAAUAGAUGGCAGGUAACUAUGAUCCUGGAAAGACUAAAAACAAGCACAACAUUAAACAAAAAUAGAGAUGAGCUUCAGUCAGUGCAAGACCCAUUAGAACACCGUUCAAAUUAACAGUCUUUAAUUAUAGCCUUACAUUGAGAAUAUCUCCGUACUAAUGUGCUUUAUUUUAUGGGGAGAUAUUCCCAAUGCAAGGCUACAAAGGCUGCUUGAACGGGCCUUUGCACUGACUGAAUCCAGUUUCACAAAAAUAUGCUUAAAGUGAUCAUAUAUGUCAUUUUCUUUCCAUUUAGCAGUUUUUUAGGGAUCAUAAGGUUUUAAAAGUUAAAAUCGUGAUGAGUUAGAUGACAUAGAAGAUGAUAUGGCAAAUUUGAUUACUGAUAGUUACAUGCAUUUUACUGAUAUAAUUUCUUUUUUUUUAAAGAAAAGGAUAAAUUUCACUGUCUCCCCUAUGUUUUCAGAAAACUUUCAACCAUGCACUUCCCUUAUUUCUCAAAAAAAACAAAAAGAUGUUCUUCACCUCCUAUGUCCCAUGAAAGGGAAGUGUUCAAAUAGAAAUACCUUAAACUCAGUUGGCAAAAAAAAAAAAAAAA